UCUCCGUAGGUGAACCUGCGGAGGGAUCAUUACUGAGUGAGGGUCUCCGGGCCCGACCUCCAACCCCAUGUGAACCGAAACCUGUUGCUUCGGGGGCGACCCUGCCGUCCGCGGCUGAGCGCCCCCGGGGUCAAUCAAACCCUGCGUAACUAAGUCGUCGGAGUUUAAACAAAUUAAACAAAACUUUCAACAGCGGAUCUCUUGGUUCGGGCAUCGAUGAAGAACGCAGC
rnacentral:misc_RNA from 1 species